rnacentral:lncRNA from 1 species
CUCUUAGAAACCCUGCUGGAGACAAAUCCUGGGCUCGGUGCACAUUUGGUGUGAUCAGCUGUGGCUCUCAGUAUUCUAACACUCAUCAUGUGCCUCACUGGUGUCAGGAGAGAUUUGGGCUGUGUACUAAUGGCUGUGGAGCUUGAUGGGCAUGUUGGUGGGAGUUGACUGAACGGAUUUAGCAGGUGAUGAAGUCAGCUUCCUCUAGACUCACCUUAGUUGCUUCCCCUCCUUGAUGAACCUUUUCCUUUAAGUCACCCUGGGAAGCAGCACUACUGGGAAGCAGCUCCUCCUGCAAGAGAUGAGCAUUCAUGUCAUGACACUGCUGAGGAUUCACAGUACAUCUACACAGGUGCCCUCAGUCCACCAAGGUGUCCCCUCGAGUCUGAAGCUCCUGAGUGGCUGGAGUUGGCUCCUUACUACUUUAAUUCUCUCUCAUUUUCUGUGUCUUAGACACAGGGCACUGUGUCCUAGCACUGAGGGGAGUGGCAGGAGUUACAGCACCAAAACAAAGCCUGCAUCCUAUUGUGAUCACAGGCCCUGAAAAACGUUCAGCUAUGGUUUGUCCCUUUGUUUUGGACCUGCCAAUCACAUUGUGGGACCGAGAUGCCUUGGGACAAUGGGGACUUGGUCUUACUACAAAUUUGUCCUAAGGGCCACUGAACAGCAGCUGGUCCCUGCCCUAACCUGGACGACAGAUAAGCUGGUUUGAGUGGACCAGUGGCUGAUUAGAAAGGACAAGCUGCAACACCUUCAAGCCCUCGUUCAAGAACAACUUUUAGCAAGACAUAUUUGUGCUUCUACCAGUCCCUGGAAUUCCCCAGUGUUUGUGAUCCAAAAAAGAAGUGGCAAGUGGCCACUUGCCACUCUGGAACAGGGAUUUGAAUCACAUUUUCCCAGAUGCCUUAGCCACUACCAAAUAGGUUUGCAAUGCUUCUUUGUCUGGUUCAGAGUCUGUUUUGUUACUCAGACCAUGUCGAAAUGCCCUGGCAGGAAGAGAGCCUGGCUCUCAGUCCAGGACUAACAGUCACCGGGUGCUCAGGGUUCUCUGCUGGUAAGGAAGAUCAUUCUCUGACUGAGAAGAAUCUGCUGAUUAUUCUGAAAUCCUCUCCCAUUGCAGCAGACAUGUGACUCCAUUGAAAAGUUCACAUCUGAGAAGACCCUGGGGAAGAAAUACAGAGGUGCCUAAAGCCCUGCUCCAUCCACUAACAUCUCAUUUCUUACCUAAUCUCUUUGGUACCCUUUUCUAGAAAUCUAAUUCUCUGCACAGGUUCUUGGGGAAACCUUUCUUUAGCAAAGACAGCCAAUGAUCCAAAGUCUGUGAUGCUGACCCUAAAUAUGUUUUUUCAGAUGUUGCUGAUGAGCUUUCCUAUCUUCUUCAUGUGCUGCUCAUUGCAAAUAGGGAGAUGUUUCUCUUUGGUUUUAAGAAAAUGCCUCUCUGAUUUGCGAGUUAAACUAUUAAAAAAUAAAACUAAAAUAAAGCUUGAUAUGUGUUGUCUG